rnacentral:ncRNA from 1 species
UAGAAAGCAAUGAAAAAGACGAGUAGAUGAUUCAUUCUUUGCAGUGAAUUAACGAUAGUGUGAAGUUAAUAGACCCUGAAUCAUUGAAUAACACUUUUAGCACCUCACCGAAAUAAUCAGGAUUAGAGUAGGUCGAGACGUCACCGGUACGUUACCACGCCGGUAGAGCAUGAUUGUGCUCUAUGAGCAGGUCUAUUAGAAUAGACAAUCUGGGUGGUACCGCGGAAAGAAGCCUUUCGUCCCUAUA